rnacentral:rRNA from 1 species
GUGAGGAUAGCGGAGAGGAAACACCCGUUCCCAUUCCGAACACGGCAGUUAAGCUCUCCGACGCCGAUGAUACUGCGCGGGCAACUGCGCGGGAAAGUAGGUAUCGCC